GGAGGGCCUGUGGCUCAGCAGAAGAGCCUCUGCUUUUCACACUGAAGGCCCUGGGUUCAAUCCUCGGCAUCUCCA
rnacentral:tRNA from 1 species